rnacentral:rRNA from 1 species
AAACAGGCGCUAAUACCCGGAUAAGAAAGCAGAUCGCAUGAUCAGCUUUUAAAAGGGCGGGCGUAAAGCUGUCGCUAUGGGGAUGGGCCCCCGCGGUGCAUUAGCUAGUUGGUAAAGGUAAAGGCUUACCAAGGGCGAUGAUGCAUAGCCGAGUUGAGAGACUGAUCGGCCACAUUGGGACUGAGACACGGGCCCAAAAACUCCUACGGGGAGGCAGCAGUAGGAAUCUUCCAACAAUGGACGCAAGUCUGAUGGAGCAACGCCGCGUGAGUGAAGUAAGGUUUUCGGAUACGUAAAAGCUCUGUUGUUGGUGAAGAAGGAUAGAGGUAGUAACUGGCCUUUAUUUGACGGUAAUCAACCAGAAAGUCACGGCUAACUACGUGCCAGCAGCCGCGGUAAU